rnacentral:lncRNA from 1 species
UUACUUAAAACCCUUUUAUAUCUUCAUUUAGAUUACACCUCAGCCUGCUGGAAAACAUUGAGACAGAAUUGUUUUGAUCAAAAUAUCAAAUGAAAUCCCAUGAGCCUCUGCUAAAUCCAAGGGCUCCCUCAUGACCAGAGUUGUGUGGCAUUAGCAGAUGCUGCAUGAUUGUGGACAUACACAAACUGGUACGUUCAUGCAAACAGUAAGCUUCCUGCUCCAGACCUGGCUUUGCUGGCUUUGUUCCUGUACCCAGAUGCAUUGGGAUGUGCUUCAUCAUACACUGCAUGAAAUUAAAGCUGUCUCAAAUCACACUAUAAUGUCCUUUUCCAUUCGACUGUUGUUUUUCAGUACUUUCGGGAGUUCCUUGAAUACUUUGGGAUAAUCCUGUUUUCACAGACUCUCUCCCCACUGGAGUAAUUCUGAAAUAUUUCACUUACAUGCUAAGGAAAUAAAGAUCUGUGAAAGAAAUAAAAAUAAUGUAAG